rnacentral:lncRNA from 1 species
UCGGUUAACGCAAAACAGAAUGCGCUCCUUGGCAAUUUUUAACAGUGUUAACCGGUUAACACCCUGGGUUAACCGGUUAACGCAAGACAGAAUGCAAUUUUUUCAAUAUUAUAACAGUGUUAACCGGUUAACACCCUGGGUUAACCGGUUAACGCAAAACAGAAUGCUGUUCCUGCGCUAACACGAAACAGAAUGCAGAUUUCCCCGCAUUUUUCAUCGUUGGAGGACUUCCGA